UACGGGGGGGGCAAGCGUUGUUCGGAAUUACUGGGCGUAAAGGGCUCGUAGGCGGCCAACUAAGUCGGAUGUGAAAUCCCCAGGCUCAACCUGGGAACUGCAUCCGAUACUGGAUGGCUUGAAUUCGGGAGAGGGAUGCAGAAUUCCAGGUGUAGCGGUGAAAUGCGUAGAUAUCUGGAGGAAUACCGGUGGCGAAGGCGGCAUCCUGGACCGACAUUGACGCUGAGGAGCGAAAGUGUGGGGAGCGAACAGG
rnacentral:rRNA from 1 species